GGGGGCGAUCCGGUUUCGACCGGGCUUACGGAAAUGCAGGUUGCGUGCCGUGGUUGAUCAGAUGGCCACGUAAAUCUCUGAUCAAACUUAACUGCAGAACCGCAGUUCUCAAUGGCUGCUUAAUAAUACAGCAGCCGCGCGUCUAGGAGCUUAGCCAGAGAGGUUUUAGCGCGCUAGUUAAAUCUGGAUCGUGGGGGUUAGAGGUCACGCAAGUGGCUGAUACUGAGGGCAACCCCUGCUAGACUUUACACUCGGUUAGCUUGAAGUGGCUUUGCAAUUUGAAUCCACCAGAGUGAACGCGGCAGAGUAAGACUGCCAAAUCAGUUUGCUACGCACGUAGACGCCGGCAUGGAAGGGCUUCGGGACCGGGGUUC
rnacentral:tmRNA from 1 species